rnacentral:rRNA from 1 species
GACGAACGCUGGCGGCGUGCUUAACACAUGCAAGUCGAACGGAAAGGCCCUGCUUUUGUGGGGUGCUCGAGUGGCGAACGGGUGAGUAACACGUGAGUAACCUGCCCUUGACUUUGGGAUAACUUCAGGAAACUGGGGCUAAUACCGGAUAGGAGCUCCUGCUGCAUGGUGGGGGUUGGAAAGUUUCGGCGGUUGGGGAUGGACUCGCGGCUUAUCAGCUUGUUGGUGGGGUAGUGGCUUACCAAGGCUUUGACGGGUAGCCGGCCUGGGAGGGUGACCGGCCACAUGGGGACUGAGAUACGGCCCGGCCUCCUACGGGGGGCAGCGGGGGGGAUUAUUGCACAAGGGGCGGAAGCCUGAUGAAGCAACCCCGCGUGCGGGAUGAUGGCCUUCGGUUGGUAACCGCUUUCGCCUGUGACGAAGCGUGAGUGACGGUAAUGGGUAAAGAAGCACCGGCUAACUACGUG